CCACACUGAAGUACGCUUAAAGACAGUCCUGAAUUUCUGUUGGUUUUGCGUCAGACCUUUGGAAAAAGCAGACCCAGUGUGGUACUUUGAUGGCAGACUGCCUGAGAAUACCAGGUGCUGUAUGGU
rnacentral:rRNA from 1 species